AUGCCUACGGGGGGCAGCAGUGGGGGAUAUUGCACAAUGGGGGGAACCCUGAUGCAGCAACGCCGCGUGGGUGAAGGAGUACCCCGGUACGUAAAGCCCUAUCAGCAGGGAAGAAAAUGACGGUACCUGACUAAGAAGCCCCGGCUAACUACGUGCCAGCAGCCGCGGUAAUACGUAGGGGGCAAGCGUUAUCCGGAUUUACUGGGUGUAAAGGGAGCGCAGACGGCUGUGCAAGUCUGGAGUGAAAGGCGGGGGCCCAACCCCCGGACUGCUCUGGAAACUGUAAAGCUGGAGUGCGGGAGGGG
rnacentral:rRNA from 1 species